AUUUAUUUUAAAGGGAGAGAGAGAGAGAGAGAGAUCUUCUAUGCACUGGUUCACUCCUCAAACACCUGCCAAUUGGCUGAUGGCCAAUGAUGGGCCAGGCUGAAGCCAGGAACCCAGAGCUUAAUCCAGGUCCCCCAUGUGGGUGGCAGUGACCUAGUACCUGAGCCAUCACCCGCUCUCCCAGGCAUGCAUUAGCAGGAAGCUGGGCUCAGGAGUGGAGCCAGAACUCAAGUCCAGGCUCUCUGUUACAGGACGUGGGUGUCCCAUGUGGCAUCUUCACCGCUGUGCCAAAUGCCCUCCUCCACAGCAAACAUUUUUUGAGUGUGAACAAGGUGGUGGUCGAUAUGGAAAUGUACGAAAAACUCUUUACUUAAGAGAAACGAGAACAUCUGCCCACCAAACACCCGUGCACAAGAAUGUGUGCGACAACUUUAGUCACAGGAGCCUAAACUGGUAACAGCUCACAUGUACAUCCGCAAGGGAACAGGUCGUCAAGUUACAGUAGAUGUGUUCCAGCAAACACUGCUCAGCGAAAAAGGGGGAAAACGUGGGGCAGGACGGGGGCUUCAUGAAGCUCAUGGGAAAUGCCUGGGUUCGAGUCCCAGCUCUGCUCUGGAUUCCACUUUUCUACUUGUGCAGACCCUAGGAGGCAGCAGGCUGAUGGCUCAAAUGGUUGGGUCUCUCCCACCCACACGGGAGGCCCAGACUGAGUUCUGGGCUUCUGGCUUUGGACUGGCUUAGUCCUGGCUGUUGUGGGCAUUUUUGAGCCAGCAGAUGAUAUCUCUCUCUCUCCCCCUCACUCCCCCUCUCUUCUCCUCACUCCUCCUCUCUCCCUCCCCCUCUCUCCCUCUCUCCCUCUCUCCGUGUCUUUCUUUCUUUCUUUCUUUUUGAGAGUUUAUUUAUUUACCUGAAAGAAUCACAGAGAGGCAGAGGCAGAGGCAGAGAGAGGAGAGGUGUCUUCCAUCCACUGGUUCACUCCCCAGUUGGCCGCAAUGGCCGAUCCGGAGCAGGAGCCAGGAACUUCCUCUGGGUCUCCCACAUCGAUGCAGGGGCCCAAGCACUUGGGCCACCUUCCACUGCUUUCCCAGGCCAUAGCAGAGAGCUGGAUUGAAAGUAGAGCAGCCGGGACCCAAACCAGUGCCCAUAUGGGAUGCCGGUUCUGCAGGCGGCACCUUUACCUGCUGUGCCACAGCACCGACCCCCUCUCUGUGCCUUUCAAGCAAAUAAAAUAAAUUUUAAAAAGCAAGGAUUGAAAAUCUUACAUUAUAGCUUACCACAAUUUUGUAAAAAGUUGAGUCAUCAAAAAUAAGAAAAUUCUGAGGAACUGGCACAGCCCAGAGGAUCCUUAAGCAGAUAGGGUACUCAGGGAAAUGCGGGAUCCUGGAACACAGAGAAGACAUUGGUAAACUGAGGAAGUGGCAUAAGCUGUGGGCUUCCGUUAGUAACAAUGUAUCGAUAUUGAUACAUUCAAUGAGUUGUAACAAGUUUAUCAGACUAACAAAAGAUAGAGCUAGUCCUGAAACUGGGCAUAGGGUAUAUGGAAGCUGUAUUUUUUCUAUAAACCUACAAGGGUUCUACCAAGGAGCCCACUUAAAGAAAAUAAUAAUAUAGGUCCUAGGGGGUUAGGGGCAUAAACUCAGUUGGUCUCCCGGGUUCAAACUCUGGCUUCCCCACACCUCAGCUCUGGGCCCUUCAAAGAGUGAGGUCCCCUCGUGGUGUCAGCUUCUUCCUCUGUGAAGUGGGGACAUUCCAGCCGGGCACCCCCUCCGGGCCAUUGUGAGGGUUAAAUGAGAUGCUGCCUCACACCUCCCUGGUGGUCUGUACACAACGCUGUUCCUGUGAAAGGUCAAAGGCAGGGCUGUGCCUUUGGGAAGCGGGCAGGUAGGAUGCCUGCAGUGUCUGCUGAUGGCACCUGGGACAAGUCGGGGACCUGAGCCUGGGUUUACUUAGCUAUGAAAUGAGAGCAAUGAGCCUAGUCCAAGGGCGGUUGGGAGGGUGGACAGAGCUCCUGUGAGCAAAGCCCCAGCACAGGGCGGAGCCAGGAAGACCCUUGGGGUGGGGGUGGGGGUUUUGGAGGUGAUGGGCCCGAGGGAGGAGUCCCAGGGAGGAGCCAGAGGGAGGGGCUGCCCUGGCUUCUGCACUGAGGGUGCUGUGUGACCUCAGCCCUACACCAAGGUCCUCCCGGGUCCCCAGUGUUGGAGCAAGGCCAGGCUGCGGCUCUCAGGCUGUUCUGUCUGCAUUCUCAUCAGGCCCUUAUCUCGCGCCUGUCACUUUCAGUGCCAUCCCAGGGCCCUCAGCCUGCCCUAGGCCCACAGGCCUGCCACGGAGGCUGUGGCCCACUCCUCAUGGUCUUCGGUCCCCACAGGGCUGAGCGCUGAGUCUGGCACCCGGUGGUUUCUGAGUCUGCGGAGGAGUUAGUGGUGGAGGGAAUUAAAUGAAUGAGAAACCCGCCCAGGGCCUGGGAUUGCUGCCUCCCCUCCCCCUACAGAAAGCCUUGCCUCUCUGGCUCUCCGGCAUCUCAGCGUCUAUGAUUAAAGCUUAAAUCCCUGGCUUAGGCCAAACGGGGUACCUGGUAAAGAGGAAAUCCUUUGGCUCAGUCUGAGUCCUGAUAGAAGGUGCACUCAGGAGGUUUCCCUGAAAAGCGAAAGAGCAAGCAGGGAUUUGCAGCGAGACAGGGGGGCGGAAGGAGGCGCCCAGGGCCCUGCGAGGUAGGCAGCUGUCGGCUCCCUGGCAUAGGGGAGCCAAGCUGGGCUCCGAGGCUGGGGAGGUGCAGCCCCUGCCCAGGGCACCAGGCUGUGAAAUGUCCCUGUGGUCAUGCCCAGUCCCCCAGGGUCCUAGGGGCAGAGAACAUGCGUGGGGGACACUCGGCCUCUGGGGCGGGAGGCUCCAUCUCCCCUUUUACAGUUUCCUGCCCAGAAAGAGGCAAGUGUCUUUAAGGACAGGGAAAGGAUGCUGGGGACCAAGGUUCUGAAGAGAAGAGCCUCACUGGGUGGGGAAGAGGGUGUCGCUUCUCUUACUACCCCUCCCUGGAUUACAGAGGGGCCGCUCAGGAGGCUCCACCCCUACCCCCAGAGUCUGAGGGCAGCAGUCUCUGUGAGCGGAGGGCGGCAAACCCUGUCCUUGACUUAGACCUCAGCUGCUGCAGGUGCUGAUGGAGAUGAGAGGCACUAAGUCUCUCCCUUGCCCCACCUGCCCCAACUCAGACACAGUUCUGCGGGAGUUCUCAGAGCUGCAGACAAGCCCUGAGCUUCUUGGAGAUAAUGCCGGCUGUGAUCCUUGACUACAGGAGUCUGCUCACCAAGCCCCCACCCCAGCGAUCCGCAGGCCACGCCGUGGGGGAACUGCAGCUGUCAGGGGGAGCUGGCCGUGUACUCCUUCCGCUGGACCUGGGAGGCAAUGACUUGCCUAAGAGAUUGUUCGGCUGCUCGGCUGGAGUCCAAGGGUCCCUAAUUGAACGCAAAGCUCACAAAGGCAAGGCCGUUUGUCUGCUGUGUUCACGCUUGCGUCUCCUGGCACAGGGCCUGGCACACACAGGUGUUUAAUGCGGUGUGUGAGUGAGUGAGCGUUUCAGGAUGGCCUGGCAGGUGCUGACAGACAGAGUGAACGGAGUCGGACGCGGCAGAGCUCCGAGGGGGCUGCAGGGAGGAGGCAGAGGCCCAAGAACGUUUCAUAAACCUGGGAAGACGGUAUCAAGUUAAGACUCUCGCUUUGAAGUGACAGAAAAGCCAAUCCCAAACCUUCUCGGCAAAAAUACAGAAUUUAUCAACUCAGAUAACUGAAGUCAGGUGUGGCUUCCUCCGGAGACUCCAGUGAUUUUUUUUUUCUCCCAGAUUCUGGUUUUCCUCUCCGCGUCUUGGCUCUGCUUCCUUGUGCUCAGUCCAUUGCAAAGAGGCUCUUUUCUCUUUGUGGCAAGGUGGUGCCAGUGGCUCCGGCCCGACCCCACCCAAGAUUAAGUCCGGAGGGCAAGCACAAGCUCUCCUUGAAGGAGACUCGGCUCACUAAGCAGAGGUGUGAAUGUCUGCUCAGUAGGUGCCAAGAUCCAAAGAGCGCCCGCCCGGGACUCCAAGUUCCAGAAGAAUUGUUGGCCAUUAGGACUGUUGAACUUCUUCCACAUUUAGUUAUUGUAAAAAUGAACAUUUACUGUCUUAAAUAUUAAUGCUCAAGCCAUGUUUGGAGUGAAAUUUGGGAAAGCAUGCUCAUGCAGACUGGUGUCUCACCGAUUUACCCUUUGAGUUCUAUCCAGUUGUAUUUACUUGGAUUUUCGACUGCUAAAGAGUAAGUCUAAGAUAACUUCUUUUCUGAUUAGAAUCUUUGCUCUUCCAGAUAACGAAGUAUAGAGUAGAAGACCUCUUGGGUGACUCAUUUUU